rnacentral:rRNA from 1 species
GACGAACGCUGGCGGUGUGCUUAACACAUGCAAGUCGAACGGUAAGGCCCUUUCGGGGGUACACGAGUGGCGAACGGGUGAGUAACACGUGAGUAACCUGCCCUCAUCUCUGGGAUAACAGUCGGAAACGGUUGCUAAUACUGGAUAUGAGCCUGCAAGGCAUCUUGUGGGUUGGAAAGAUUUUUUUUGGUUGGGGAUGGACUCGCGGCCUAUCAGCUUGUUGGUGAGGUAGUGGCUCACCAAGGCUUCGACGGGUAGCCGGCCUGAGAGGGCGACCGGCCACAUUGGAACUGAGAUACGGCCCAAACUCCUACGGGAGGCAGCAGUGGGGAAUAUUGCACAAUGGACGGAAGUCUGAUGCAGCAACGCCGCGUGCGGGAUGACGGCCUUCGGGUUGUAAACCGCUUUCAAUUGUGACGAAGCUUUUUUGUGACGGUAGCAGUAGAAGAAGCACCGGCUAACUACGUG